UUUAAAUGUAAAAAUUUUAUACUUUGGUAGUAUUAGUUAUAUUCUUGAAACUAAAAAAAUUUGGCGGUAUUUUAGUCUUUUCAGAGGAACCUGUUUUAUAAUUGAUAGUCCACAUUAUAUCUUACUUAAUUUUGUUUUUCAAUUUGUAUAUCGUCGUCAUCAGAAUAUCUUAAUUAAGUAAUAAUUUUCUAACAUUUUUAUUAAAAAUGAUGUCAGAUCAAGGUGCAGUUUAUGAUUAAGUAAAAAUGGGUUACAAUAAAAUUAUUUAUACGGAGUAAUUUAUGAAAUUAAAUUAUUAAGGUGGAUUUGAAAGUAAAUUAUAUUAUUAUAUUUAGUUGAUUAUAGCUCUAAAAUAUGU
rnacentral:rRNA from 1 species